GAUGAACGCUAGCUACAGGCUUAACACAUGCAAGUCGAGGGGAAACGACAUCGAAAGCUUGCUUUUGAUGGGCGUCGACCGGCGCACGGGUGAGUAACGCGUAUCCAACCUGCCCACCACUUGGGGAUAACCUUGCGAAAGUAAGACUAAUACCCAAUGACGUCUCUAGAAGACAUCUGAAAGAGAUUAAAGAUUUAUCGGUGAUGGAUGGGGAUGCGUCUGAUUAGCUUGUUGGCGGGGUAACGGCCCACUAAGGCGACGAUCAGUAGGGGUUCUGAGAGGAAGGUCCCCCACAUUGGAACUGAGACACGGUCCAAACUCCUACGGGAGGCAGCAGUGAGGAAUAUUGGUCAAUGGGCGAGAGCCUGAACCGGCCAAGUAGCGUGCAGGAUGACGGCCCUAUGGGUUGUAAACUGCUUUUAUAAGGGAAUAAAGUGAGUCUCGUGAGACUUUUUGCAUGUACCUUAUGAAUAAGGACCGGCUAAUUCCGUGCCAGCCGCCGCGGUAA
rnacentral:rRNA from 1 species